rnacentral:rRNA from 1 species
GACGAACGCUGGCGGCGUGCUUAACACAUGCAAGUCGAACGGAAAGGCCUCGGUCGGGGGGUACACGAGUGGCGAACGGGUGAGUAACACGUGAGUAACCUGCCCUUGACUUUGGGAUAACUUCAGGAAACUGGGGCUAAUACCGGAUAGGAGCUCCUGCUGCAUGGUGGGGGUUGGAGAGUUUCGGCGGUUGGGGAUGGACUCGCGGCUUAUCAGCGUGUUGGUGGGGGAGUGGCUUACCAAGGCUUUGAGCGGUAGCCGGCCUGAGAGUGUGACCGGCUAAGGUGGGUCCGAGAUACGGCAUAGACACCUACGUGAGGCAGAAGUGGGGAAUAUUGCACAAUGGGUAGGAGCCUGCUGCAGUAGCGCUGUGUGCGCGAAGACGGGCUUGGGGUUGCCAUUCUGUUUCCCCCAUGACGAAGCUUUGUGUGACGGUAGUGGGUAAAUAAGCACCGGCUAACUACGUG